UUCUUUCCAAAAUGAUCGUGGAGGAGUUCCUGGAAGUUGGAAAUGCUAAAAAAGCAGAGAGCAAAUUUUAGAAGAUUGAGUACAGUUCGAGAUUGAGAUAUGCACUAUUCAAUUCCAAAGGCUCGGUGAUUCCAACGGCUUGACAACAAAGCUAUCAAUUGAAAUUGGGAUUGUGAGGGAUCACCACUGUGGAGUGCACCAGACUACAAAUUAUUUUGCUCAGCUUGUAACUCUUCAUCUUUGUGGAUAUGUAAUCAAUUCUAAAUCAGUGGUACUGAGUGACAGUUCCUUUUCCACCAUUUGGUAUAGAUCUGUGGCCUGCAUCCUGCAUUCGUCCCACCAUGCUGUUUGACUUUGAGACCACUGCGCCAACCGUUAAAAUCUGCCUAAGACACGACUCGCUAUUUUUUAUUGCUUACUAAAAAUAUGAAAAAACAACUUGUGAAAUUUAACUAUUAUUCAUGUCUGUUAAUGUAUUCAUCCUGUUUCGAUGUAUUUAACAUUUAAUUAAUAUUUUAUGGGUCUACGAGAUUUGUAUUUUAAUAUGAAAUAUAAAGCAUAAAAUGUUUUGCAUAUGUUACUGAAAGUUUAAUUCUUUUGAUUAAGUAUGCCUAUAUCCACUAAAAUACAGCCAUCAGGUUUUAUUGUGUAAAUAUCAGUCUCAUGGUCUUGUAUUUGAGUUAUGUAGUGUGAUAUUCUGUAGCAUUCAAAUUUCUCUCUGCGUUGUUUUAAAUUAAUGUAUUAAUGCUAUUUCUAAUCAUAA